GGCACCAUGGCGGAGUGGUUAACGCGAGAGAUUCGAAUAUGGUCUGCAGGACUCGAACCUGUAUCUCUUCCUCUUUGAGGGCGCAGGUUCGAAUCCUGCUGGUGUCG